rnacentral:rRNA from 1 species
GACGGAGGGCGCGAGCGUUGUUCGGAAUCACUGGGCGUAAAGCGCGCGCAGGCGGAUGGGUAAGUCGGGGGUGAAAGACCGGGGCUCAACUCCGGGGCGGCCUCCGAGACUGCUCGUCUGGGGACCGGUAGGGGCAGGUGGAAUUCCCGGUGUAGCGGUGGAAUGCGUAGAGAUCGGGAAGAACACCGGUGGCGAAGGCGGCCUGCUGGGCCGGAUCCGACGCUGAGGCGCGAAAGCGUGGGGAGCAAAC